GUGGUGCUCAAGCUUGUGACUCCAGCAACACAUCCGGGUAAGGGGUUCGCCCCUUGCUAUUGACGCUGGGACAGGCUCCCACAUAAGCACAUCAAACGCCUGAAAGAGGCGCAGGGCGCAAGCUCUGGUGGGUUAUCAGAAAUUCAGGCGCUGGGCUUGCUCGAUGAUGCUUUGUGCACAGAGUUGGGACCAGUUGCCUUUGAAACAGGCCCAUGUGCGGCAAACCGUUAAGUGCAAUUCACAAGCCGACUUGCGAGUCGGACAUGAGUGGGAUGCUCUGACUGCCAC
rnacentral:RNase_P_RNA from 2 species